rnacentral:lncRNA from 1 species
GGUCCACAUCUAAUCUGUGCCAACUAUGAGGGUGACAGCCCUAAACUAGUAGCUGACCCGUUUUCAAAGUUCUCAGCUUGAACAAAAUUGAAGUCUGGUUGGCCUAGGUCGAGAAAGUUAAUUUGGGUUAGCUUUUUUCUUGACAACAUUUUGAUCAUAGGUCUCAUCAGUCUAAAUUGCAAUUCAAAACAGGUCUGAAGACAGAUUUCUAGUUCC